rnacentral:rRNA from 1 species
AUUGGACGCUGGCGGAAUGCUUUACACAUGCAAGUCGAACGGCAGCACGGGGCAACCUGGUGGCGAGUGGCGAACGGGUGAGUAAUAUAUCGGAACGUGCCCAAUCGUGGGGGAUAACGUAGCGAAAGUUACGCUAAUACCGCAUACGAUCUACGGAUGAAAGCGGGGGGAUCGCAAGACCUCGCGCGAAUGGAGCGGCCGAUAUCAGAUUAGGUAGUUGGUGGGGUAAAGGCUCACCAAGCCAACGAUCUGUAGCUGGUCUGAGAGGACGACCAGCCACACUGGAACUGAGACACGGUCCAGACUCCUACGGGAGGCAGCAGUGGGGAAUUUUGGACAAUGGGCGCAAGCCUGAUCCAGCCAUUCCGCGUG